rnacentral:rRNA from 1 species
GACAGAGGAUGCAAGCGUUAUCCGGAAUUAUUGGGCGUAAAGAGCUCGUAGGCGGUCUGUCGCGUCUGCUGUGAAAACUCGGGGCUUAACCCCGGGCCUGCAGUGGGUACGGGCAGACUAGAGUGCGGUAGGGGAGACUGGAAUUCCUGGUGUAGCGGUGAAAUGCGCAGAUAUCAGGAGGAACACCGGUGGCGAAGGCGGGUCUCUGGGCCGUAACUGACGCUGAGGAGCGAAAGCAUGGGGAGCGAACAGG